GGCCUUAGCUCAGUGGUAGAUCAUCUGUUUUGAAUACAGAAGGUCCCACCUUGAAUUCCUGGUGUCACCA